rnacentral:rRNA from 1 species
GAUGAACGCUGGCGGCGUACCUAAUACAUGCAAGUCGAGCGAACAGACGAGGAGCUUGCUCCUCUGACGUUAGCGGCGGACGGGUGAGUAAAACGUGGAUAACCUACCUAUAAGACUAGGAUAACUUCGGGAAACCGGAGCUAAUACCGGAUAAUAUAUUGAACCGCAUGGUUCAAUAGUGAAAGACGGUUUUGCUGUCACUUAUAGAAGGAUCCGCGCCGCAUUAGCUAGUUGGUAAGGUAACGGCUUACCAGGGCAACGAUGCGUAGCCGACCUGAGAGGGUGAUCGGCCACACUGAAACUGAGACCCGGUCCAGACUCCUACGGGAGGCAGCAGUAGGGAAUCUUCCGCAAUGGGCGAAAGCUUGACGGAGCAACGCCGCGUGAGUGAUGAAGGUCUUCGGAUCGUAAAACUCUGUUAUUAGGGAAGAACAAAUGUGUAAGUAACUAUGCACGUCUUGACUGUACCUAAUCAGAAAGCCACGGCUAACUACGU